GUCUUGGAGUCCAGCCUCUGACUGAACACCACUGUGUCCAUAGGCCAUGGCACUGAGCACCGCGUCCAGCCUUUCCUUAAACACUUCCAGAGUCUGAAGUGAAGGUCAGUAAAGGAUAUGACACCAACGAGGCAGAAGGAUGAACCAGCAAAGGAAACAUCUAGGGAAAACUGAAUGAUUCACUGUGCAGUUGAACAGUUGAUGAAUGGAAAUUGGAAGGGGAAGCAGGAGCACAGAAG